CUAACGCAUUAAGUGCCCCGCCUGGGGAGUACGGCCGCAAGGCUAAAACUCAAAGGAAUUGACGGGGGCCCGCACAAGCGGCGGAGCAUGCGGAUUAAUUCGAUGCAACGCGAAGAACCUUACCAAGGCUUGACAUGUGCCAGACCGCCGUGGAAACACGGUUUCCCCUUUGGGGCUGGUUCACAGGUGGUGCAUGGUUGUCGUCAGCUCGUGUCGUGAGAUGUUGGGUUAAGUCCCGCAACGAGCGCAACCCUCGUUCCAUGUUGCCAGCACGUAGUGGUGGGGACUCAUGGGAGACUGCCGGGGUCAACUCGGAGGAAGGUGGGGACGACGUCAAAUCAUCAUGCCCCUUAUGUCUUGGGCUUCACGCAUGCUACAAUGGCCGGUACAAUGGGUUGCGAUACUGUGAGGUGGAGCUAAUCCCAAAAAGCCGGUCUCAGUUCGGAUUGGGGUCUGCAACUCGACCCCAUGAAGUCGGAGUCGCUAGUAAUCGCAGAUCAGCAACGCUGCGGUGAAUACGUUCCCGGGCCUUGUACACACCGCCCGUCAAGUCACGAAAGUUGGUA
rnacentral:rRNA from 1 species